GAAUGAGUAGCGAGAUAGAAGUGAGAAUCUUCUAGGCCGAAUAUCCAAGGUUUCCGGGGUAAAGCUGAUCUGCCCCGGGUAAGUCGGGACCUAAGGCGAGGCCGAAAGGCGUAGUCGAUGGACAACAGGUUGAGAUUCCUGUACUCCGUACAAACAGAACUGUGGGGACACGGAAGGGUAGGAAGAGCCGGGAGUGGAAAAACCGGUUCAAGCGCAAAGGAUAUCCCGGGAGGAAAAGCCCUCGGGAGUUUCUGAAGCGUGAUGAGGAGCGAAGAAAAAGUAGCGAAGCUUCCGAACCCAAGCCGUCAAGAAAAGCCGCUAUAGCUUUGUACGGACCCGUACCGUAAACCGACACAGGUGGAUGAGGAGAGAAUCCUAAGGCCGACGGGAGAAGCAUUGUUAAGGAACUCGGCAAAAUGGCCCCGUAACUUCGGGAGAAGGGGCGCCUGAGAGAUCAGGCCGCAGAGAAAUGGCCCAAGCAACUGUUUAGCAAAAACACAGGUCUAUGCGAAACCGGAAGGUGAAGUAUAUGGGCUGACGCCUGCCCGGUGCUGGAAGGUUAAGGGGAGAGGUUAGCCGAAAGGCGAAGCUUUGAACUUAAGCCCCAGUAAACGGCGGCCGUAACUAUAACGGUCCUAAGGUAGCGAAAUUCCUUGUCGGGUAAGUUCCGACCCGCACGAAAGGCGUAACGAUUUGGGCGCUGUCUCGACGGUGGACUCGGUGAAAUCAUAGUACCUGUGAAGAUGCAGGUUACCCGCGACAGGACGGAAAGACCCCGUGGAGCUUUACUGCAGCUUGAUAUUGGACUUUGGUGCAGCAUGUACAGGAUAGGUAGGAGACUAAGAAUCUGGGACGCCAGUUUCAGAGGAGUCGACGUUGGGAUACUACCCUUGUUGUACUGAGGUUCUAACUAGCGUUUAAGAAACGAGACGUAGGACAGUGUCAGGUGGGCAGUUUGACUGGGGCGGUCGCCUCCUAAAGAGUAACGGAGGCGCUCAAAGGUUGGCUCAGCACGGACGGAAAUCGUGCAAAGAGUGCAAACGCAGAAGCCAGCCUGACUGUGAGACCUACAAGUCGAGCAGAAACGAAAGUUGGAGUUAGUGAUCAGGCGGUAAUGAGUGGAAAUGCCGUCGCUUAACGGAUAAAAGCUACCCUGGGGAUAACAGGCUGAUCUCCCCCAAGAGUCCACAUCGACGGGGAGGUUUGGCACCUCGAUGUCGGCUCAUCGCAUCCUGGGGCUGAAGUAGGUCCCAAGGGUUGGGCUGUUCGCCCAUUAAAGCGGUACGCGAGCUGGGUUCAGAACGUCGUGAGACAGUUCGGUCCCUAUCCGGCGCGGGCGCAGGAUAUUUGAGAGGAUCUGACCUUAGUACGAGAGGACCGGGUUGGACGAACCUCUGGUGUAUCGGUUGUACUACCAAGUGCACGGCCGAGUAGCCAAGUUCGGAAGGGAUAAACGCUGAAGGCAUCUAAGCGUGAAGCCCCCCUCAAGAUGAGAUAUCCCAUGGAGUCAAUCCAGUAAGACCCCUUGAAGACUACAAGGUAGAUAGGACAGAGGUGGAAGUGCAGUAAUGCAUUGAGCUGACUGUUACUAAUAGGUCGAGGGCUUGACCUG
rnacentral:rRNA from 1 species